GGGGUUGACGCUUGACAAGCGCUUGCAGGUGCCGGGGAGUCAGACCUGGAGUCAAUGCUAUCGCUCUCUCCGCUACUGAGUGGGCUUAGCGGUCGAGAGCAGGCUUCACGGACGACCGGACCUGGAGACAAGUCCUGGGUCCGCUACUAACACUGUGACACUCUGAAUAAGUCAUUUUCCCCAUCCUGAGACUUCGUUUUCUCGUCUGUAAAGUAGGAAUACGUUUCAUGGGAUCACAGGAUGACUGAGAACAAAUGGAAAUUCUCACUGACUUCUAGGACUCCCUGGGGCAGGUGCAGUCAAUGGAAACAUGGAGGAAACGAUGGCUGUCACUUCUGGACAUAGCUUAGCGGCCAGUGCAAUAUUCUUUACUUGUCCUGAAAAUCUUAGCAGCACAGGUGCUGCCUCCCUUCGCCUGGGUCCCUGAGUGAGGAUGACAUAAAGCAGAGC